rnacentral:rRNA from 1 species
GAUGAACGCUGGCGGCGUGCCUAAUACAUGCAAGUCGAGCGAACAGACGAUGAGCUUGCUCCUCUGACGUUAGCGGCGGACGGGUGAGUAACACGUGGAUAACCUACCUAUAAUACUGGGAUAACUUCGGGAAACCGGUGCUAAUACCGGAUAAUAUAUUGAACCGCAUGGUUCAAUAGUGAAAGACGGUUUUGCUGUCACUUAUAGAUGGUUCCGCGCCGCAUUAGCUAGUUGGUAAGGUAACGGCUUACCAAGGCAACGAUGCGUAGCCGACCUGAGAGGGUGAUCGGCCACACUGGAACUGAGACACGGUCCAGACUCCUACGGGAGGCAGCAGUAGGGAAUCUUCCGCAAUGGGCGAAAGCCUGACGGAGCAACGCCGCGUGAGUGAUGAAGGUCUUCGGAUCGUAAAACUCUGUUAUUAGGGAAGAACAAAUGUGUAAGUAACUAUGCACGUCUUGACGGUACCUAAUCAGAAAGCCACGGCUAACUACGUG